CCUACGGGAGGCAGCAGUAGGGAAUUUUCGUCAAUGGGCGCAAGCCUGAACUAUCAAUUCCUCUUUAACGAGGAAGGUCUUCUUAUCUUAAAGUUCUGUUGAAGGGGAAAAAGAGCGGAGAGAGGAAAUGGUCUCCGAUUGAUAUUACCCUUCGAGGAAGUCACGGCUAACUACGUGCCAGCAGCCGCGGUAAUACGUAGGUGGCGAGUGUUAUCCGGAAUGAUUGGGCGUAAAGGGUGCGUAGGCGGCCUGCUAAGUCUGGAGUGAAAGGUACCGGCUCAACCGGUACAGGCUCUGGAAACUGGCGGGCUAGAGAGCAGGAGAGGGCGGUGGAACUCCAUGUGUAGCGGUAAAAUGCGUAGAUAUAUGGAAGAACACCAGUGGCGAAGGCGGCCGCCUGGCCUGUUACUGACGCUGAGGCACGAAAGCGUGGGGAGCAAAUAGGAUUAGAUACCCGAGUAGUC
rnacentral:rRNA from 1 species